rnacentral:piRNA from 1 species
UGCAUUGCAGUAAGGUGCUGGGUUUGCAA